UACGUAGGGGCAAGCGUUGUCCGGAAUCAUUGGGCGUAAAGAGCGCGUAGGCGGUCCGGUAAGUCGGUUGUGAAAACUGGGGGCUCAACCCUCAGAGGCCGACCGAUACUGCUGGGCUAGAGUCCGGAAGAGGCGAGUGGAAUUCCUGGUGUAGCGGUGAAAUGCGCAGAUAUCAGGAGGAACACCGGUGGCGAAGGCGGGUCUCUGGGCCGAUACUGACGCUGAGGAGCGAAAGCAUGGGUAGCGAACAGG
rnacentral:rRNA from 1 species